ensembl:lncRNA
GCCCUAUGCAGCCAUGUGUGUGCAUAAUGGAUGCACAUCAGGGCAACUAUAAAACAAAAGACCUCGCCAGGUCCAAGCACCAAAAUAACAUCCACCUAUCCACGCAGAGUCCAUGGGUUAGACCAUCUCCCAGACAGAGGAGCCCGGGCCAUACACACAGUGUGAGGUGCAGUGUUUGUUCUGUGGUCAAGCGAUUGACGUUGCCAGCAUCCAAGACACAUUGAUGACUGUGAAAUUUCACAUCAACCAUCAACCUCUGCUGCCCAGACCUCUGCCCAGUCCUCUGCUGCCCAGACCUCUGCUGCCCAGUCCUCUGCUGCCCUGACCUCUGCCUCGACCUCAGCUGCCUCGACCUCGUCCACUGGCAGAGUGUCAGAGAUUUUCAAUGAAGAAUGGAAGCUGGAGCCAGCUGCCAAAGCAGCAGCCAAAAUGUUUCAGACUCAUGUGGCCAAAGAUGCCGACCAGAAGCCAACCCUAAAGUUGACUUUGGACAUGCACGUCACAGAAGAGGACAGAGAAAGAUCAAUUAUCGGCUUCUAUGAGCAGACUAAUGUUGAUUGGACCCGUCCUUUUGAAGUCGAACUCAAGGGAGACUGUGCAAUUGGGGAUGGCGUGAAGAAAUAUUUAUUUUAGCUAUUCCUGAAUAAGGUCCAAACAGGCCUACAUUUACACCUUGGGUCCACCUUUGACACAGGGAUGGGCCAGUGCCUUUUCCCUCUGCUGGCCAGCAAGGACAUGGGGGCCAUAGAUGCUGCAGUCUUGCAGUUAGAAGAUUUUCCAGACUUGGACAUUGUGGAGAUUGUAAGCCUUAAAGCCAGACUGUCCUGACCCCCCGAAAAUGUAGACCAAGUGAACAAAUUGGCCCUCAGCUGGGACCGGCCCACUCUUACAGAGAACAACAGGAGGUUGUUGUCACAACAAAUCCUCCAUCAUGGGGUAAUUGUCAGACGUGAGAGGCAAAUGGUGCAGUUGCGGCACGGGCUGAAGGACAUUCGCGUCCUGAAAAUGUUAAAAGAACGGCCUGAAUCUGGCAUCUGCCUUGUUCCCCAGAUCUGCAGAGGCAGAGCUGGAGCCAGAGAUGAUAAUAGAACGAAUUGUGUGGCCAGAACCAGACAGUGAUGAAGAGGAGGAAAUUGAUGAUUACUGCAGUGUGGUUGCUCACUUGCGGCAGUACAUCAGCUUAAUUUCUUCCUCCGAACUGCAGCACCUCAUUGAGUUUUGGACGGGUUGGGCGGUGCUGCCGGACAAGCUGUACGUCAGUGUUGACCGGGAUGCCACCUACCCGACAGCUUCUACCUGUUUCACCAAAUUGAAAAUCCCAAUAGGAUGUGGGUCCUACAGGGAUUUUUGUGUUAAGUUGGGGGCAGUUGUGAUCACCACUAAGUUUGGCUUUGGGAGGAUCUAGGUUUUGGGUCUUGGUUUCUAUCAUUUUACCUUGUGUCUUACCUUUUUAGUUCAAAUUGUUUGUUUUCGCAGUUUGCAAUAUAAUAUUAUUCCACACUUUCACACAUGUUGAGACAAUACGACAUUCCUCCUUACUAUUUGUCCGCCAAAAAGGGUGUUUUAAGCAUUGAAUUUAGGAAGUGAGUGCAAUGAAAAAAAGGUCAUUUUUUAAUAAAAGCAAAGCUCAAUAGGCAGAAGCUAGUUUGUCACAGUAUUGUCACUCACUUAUAUUAUGUUGGUUCAGUUCAU